GGGCCACUUGAUGUAAGCCUCCAUCCGGCGCCUUCCAAUGGGCGCAGGAGGACAACAGAGCACCCCCCGCGUUCCACCGAGCCUUCUCGGUCGCGUGGCCCGCGGGGACGUGCGAUGCUCUCGGACCCAGCGAACGCCGUGGGCGAGGACUCACGUCCCAGUCCCGAAAAUAAGCUCCGAUAUAAUGCAUGACGGCCGCUCCCGCCCCCCGACCGCCCCGGCGGCGCGGGGGCGAGGCGCGGCGUCGCAGAGGAAUGC
rnacentral:misc_RNA from 1 species